rnacentral:sRNA from 1 species
CUUGUAUUAGCUGCCCUGAUUCCAAUGCUGCCAUGACCCCAUACCUUUUUUACCCCUCUUUUUGGCAUGGCAAACUGUUUUAAGACAUCCAGGAUAUGUUCUGUAUGAAGACUAAGCUCCCUAGACUGCAAUAGAACCACAACCCUUGAUAUUUCAUCUCUGCCAGUGUCCUGCAUUCCGACACAUCAACUCUUUGUGGUAUUUAGAGUCCAAUGCAUUACUAGAGAAUUCCUAGCUGUACUCAAACUCAAACCUGACCAGGUUAUUUCUAUAUUACAACUACCUUUUGCUGAGACAAAAGCCCAACACAUGCUGAAUUUCUUGCAAACAGAACACAUUGGCAUAGACUUUACCAAAGGCUCCAAAGUAUAUUCUUGAAGGGUCAGAAGAGAGAAAUUGCCCUUUACAGUAUAUUAAGAACAGGCAUAUUUUUUCCUUGGUAAGGAAGUUUGUUAUGUACCUGGGUGAUUUGAAUCUAACAUUGCUGAGGAAAUGCUGGCUAUGAAAUAAGAACAAAAAAAAAAGUAAAACAUAUCUACUACAUGGCAGGAAAGGAAUCUUAAUACUUUUCUCUGCUGAUUGAUGGACCUAAAAUAUAUUCAGGCAUAUAGAGUUGUCAAAUAUUGCAAACAGAAGAUCUAGAAAAAGACUAGAUCUCACCAAGCUGGUUUUUUCUAUUGGUUGUUAAUUUCAAAGAGAGAGAUAGCACAAAUAUUCAGUGGUAGGAAAACAACUUAAUUUUAGUCAGAUGUCGUAUUCAGGGAAGCUGAAUGCUCAAAAGUGACAUGGAAAGCACAAUUGAGUCAGAGGACUUGUUCCUGCUUAAACUGUAGCAUUCUCAAGAAUUUCUCUGGGUACUAAGACAGUCAGGCCACUUAGCCAGCACAUGGGAAGUCACUGGAAUAGAAUGUGAGGAAGGAUGUUCUAAGAAUGCUUAGACAAUUUGAAUUGAUCUUCCUUGUAGUUGCUUUGAGCAAGUCAAUACGUUAGAAUGAACAUAUAUUCUUGUCAGUUAAUACAUCCUCCUUCACAUAUUCAACGUUGACAACAGAUUUUCAUUUCUUAGAUACGUUAAUGUGUGACUGGAUUGACAUAUACUAUAUUGAGCACAUGAGUCAAAAACAGGAUGAGAAAGUCACACUAAGAGCACCAGGCAUGUUGUGAUGGUUCGUGGCCAGAUUUGGGAAGGCAGUCACAGAAAUGUGUGAGCCACACGUCUUGCUAGAGAAUGCAGAUGCACAUUGCUGAGGAAAUGCUGGCUAUGAAAUAAGAACAAAAAAAAAGUAAAACAUAUCUACUACAUGGCAGGAAAGGAAUCUUAACACUUUUCUCUGCGGAUUGAUGGACCUAAAAUAUAUUCAGGCAUAUAGAGUUGUCAAAUAUUGCAAACAGAAGAUCUAGAAAAAGACUAGAUCUCACCAAGCUGGUUUUUGAGGAUCUGGUUACCUUUGUUCAGCACCUGGUUGCCUACCGCAGUUUAAAAAAACAA